GGGCUCAGUAGUUGUGGCGCACGGGCUUAGUUGCUCUGCGGCAUGUGGGAUCUUCCUGGACCAGGGAUUGAACCCGUGUCCCCAGCCCUGGCAGGCGGAUUCUUAACCACUGCACCACGAGAGAAGCCCUGAUGUCAGAUUUUUAAUACUAAUUUUUAAGGUAAAACGGUCUGUAUUCAAGUAAAAUUUGUAGACAGUGAAGUGCAUAGAUUUUAGGAUUACGUUCUAUUUCUUUUGACAUUGUGUACAUCUGUGUGAUCCUAAUCCAAGUCCAGAUAGAGAACUUUUCUAUCAUCUCAGAAGGUGUCCAGGAAAUGUAUUUCUCUCCCUUUCUGCCCUUGGCAACCAUUUUUUUCUGUUAUCUAUUGUCAUAGAUCAGUUUCACCUGUUCUUGAAUUUCAUAUAAAUGGAAUUAUACAUGUUCACUUUUGCAUCUGACUUUGUUUACAAUGUCUGUGAGGUUCAUACAUGUUGUUGCAUAUAUCCAUAGUUUGGAGGGUUUUUUCCUACUCUGUAGUGUUCCUUUUCAUGAACAUCCCACAAUUUAUCCUUUCUCUGGUUUAUGGACAUUUGAGUUAUUUACAGUUUGGGGUGAUUACAAAUAAAGUUAUUAUGAACAUUCUUUGUGGACGUGUUUUCAUUUCUCUUAUUAAAUAAUGAGUAGAAUUUCUGGGUCAUAAGGUAGGUUUAUGUUUAAUUUUAUGAGAAACUGCCAAAAGUUUUCCCAAGUGACUGUAGGUGCCAUUUUAUGUGCAUUUGUGUACAAUAAUGAGAGUUCCAGUUGUUUUAUUAUAUCUCAUGAUUUUAAUUUGCAUAACAAAUGAUGUUUAACUCCUUUUUAUAUGCUUACUGACAAUUUAUCUUUUUUUUCUGAAAUGUGUAUUGAAGGCUCUGGCCAUUUUUUUUUUUUUCAUUAGGUUGCUUGUCUCAUUACAGAAUGGUUGGAAUCCUUUUCAUGAGGAUGUUAGUUUUCCUUUGUGGUUACCAUGAGGUUUACAUAUAACAAAACAGUCCUUGAAGUUGAUAACAACUUAAUCAGAAAACAUACCCUGAAUGAUUUCAGACCUCGGGAAUAUAUUAAAACCCAGCAUUUGAGAUAUCUUGGUGAAUGUUCCAAGUGCACAUCAAGACUUUGUUUCUGGUUCUGCAUUUAAAGAGCUGGAAGUCACCACUCCAUCCUAGCAGCAAGUAAGAAGUUGAACAGGUAUUUUAAAACUUCUUGAAUUCAUAACAGACUGGAGGACAGACGGCAAACUGCUGCCCCAUAUUGGAAAGGCAGGCAAAUACAAAGACUGGAAAAAAAACAACAAAACCCAAUAUAUUAUGCAAGUACUUUGGUACAAUUACAAACGGUAUAACAUAGGUACAAUGGUAAUAUCAAUAAAAGAAAUAAAGGAAAAGAUGAAAUAUUUCAAACAACAACAGAUUUCCCCCAAGUUAAUGUCAGACACCAAACCACAGAUCCAGGAAACUCAGAGAUCACCAAGCUAAUCUGAAGGAAGCCAGAGGUAAGAAACAUUUUAUCUACAGAGGAACAAAGAUAAGUAUCACAUCUAACUUCUCAGAAGCCAUGUGAGCAAGAAAAAAAUGGAGUGAACUAUUUAAAUUUUUGAGAAAAAAAUAUCACCAACAUAGAUAUCUGUACUCUGCAAAACUGUUCUUUCAAAACUAAAGAAAUAAACACUUUCUCAAACAAAAACUGAUGGAAUUUGUUGCCAGUACACUCACCAUACAAGAAAUGUUAAAAAAGUUCUUUAAAGAGAAUGAAUGUAAUAUAGGUCAAAAACGCAGAUCUGUAUGAAAUAAGGAAGAGCAAUGAAGAAGGAAUAACUGAAGGUAAAAUAAAAGCUUUUAUUUUUAGUUGAUCUAACAAACAGAUAACAGUUUCUUCCAAAUGCCAACAAUGUAUUCGAUUAUGUAUGCUUAGGUAUUUGUGUUAUGAAUAUGUAUGCUAAUGUAUAUGCUUAUAUAUAAGUGAAAUGAAUAACAGCAGUGAUACAAAGAACGGGAAGAAGGAUUUAGGAUUAUUUUAUUACUAUAAGGUACACUACCUGUGAUGUGUUAUUUGACAGAAUUGGAUUAGCUAUAAUUGUAUAUACGAAUUCUAGGGCACCCACUAAAAACAAGGUGGGAAAUAAAGUAUAACUAAUAUGCUAAGAAAGGAGAGAAAUGGAAUCAUAGAAAAUGCUAUUAAAACUACAAAAGCCAGAAAAAGAAAGACAAAAAUAGAACAAGAGCAACAAAUAGAAACAGUAAUGCAUAUGAUAGAUAGUAAUAGAAAUGUAUCAGUAAUGUUAUUUAAUCAGAAUGUUAUUUAAAUGUACCUAUUUAAAAAUAGAGAUCAUUAGAGUGGAUCUAAAAACAUGACCAAACAAACAAUAUGUUAUCUACAGGAAACCCAUUUUAAAUAUAAAGACAUAUAGAUUAAAUGCAAAUGGAUGGAGGGACUUCCCAGUGGUCCAGCGGUUAAGAC